UACCAGCACCCCGAGUGGUCGGGACGUUUAUUGGGCCUAAAGCAUCCGUAGCCGGUUCUACAAGUCUUCCGUUAAAUCCACCUGCUUAACAGAUGGGCUGCGGAAGAUACUAUGGAGCUAGGAGGCGGGAGAGGCAAGCGGUACUCGAUGGGUAGGGGUAAAAUCCGUUGAUCCAUUGAAGACCACCAGUGGCGAAGGCGGCUUGCCAGAACGCGCUCGACGGUGAGGGAUGAAAGCUGGGGGGAGCAAACCGGAU
rnacentral:rRNA from 1 species